GUCCAGACUCCUACGGGAGGCAGCAGUGAGGAAUAUUGGUCAAUGGGCGGGAGCCUGAACCAGCCAAGUCGCGUGAGGGAAGACGGUCCUACGGAUUGUAAACCUCUUUUGCCGGGGAGCAACGGGGUCCUUGCGAGGGCCCGAUGAGAGUACCCGGAGAAAAAGCAUCGGCUAACUCCGUGCCAGCAGUCGCGGUAAUACGGAGGAUGCGAGCGUUAUCCGGAUUUAUUGGGUUUAAAGGGUGCGUAGGCGGACUGUUAAGUCGGGGUAAAAAGCCGGGGACCCACCCCCGGCGAGCCGUUGAAACUGGCUGUCUUGAGAUGUCGAGAGGUAUGCGGAAUGCGCAGUGUAGCGGUGAAAUGCUUAGAUAUUGCGCAGAACUCCGAUUGCGAAGGCAGCAUACCGGCGGCGAUCUGACGCUGAGGCACGAAAGCGUGGGUAUCGAACAGGAUUAGAUACCCGGGUA
rnacentral:rRNA from 1 species